GACGAACGCUGGCGGCGUGCUUAACACAUGCAAGUCGAACGGAAAGGCCCUGCUUUUGUGGGGUGCUUGAGUGGCGAACGGGUGAGUAACACGUGAGUAACCUGCCCUUGACUUUGGGAUAACUUCAGGAAACUGGGGUUAAUACCGGAUAGGAGCUCCUGCUGCAUGGUGGGGGUUGGAAAGUUUCGGCGGUUGGGGAUGGACUCGCGGCUUAUCAGCUUGUUGGUGGGGUAGUGGCUUACCAAGGCUUUGACGGGUAGCCGGCCUGAGAGGGUGACCGGCCACAUUGGGACUGAGAGACGGCCCAGACUCCUACGGGAGGCAGCAGUGGGGAAUAUUGCACAAUGGGCGGAAGCCUGAUGCAGCAACGCCGCGUGCGGGAUGACGGCCUUCGGGUUGUAAACCGCUUUCGCCUGUGACGAAGCGUGAGUGACGGUAAUGGGUAAAGAAGCACCGGCUAACUACGUG
rnacentral:rRNA from 1 species